rnacentral:rRNA from 1 species
AGUAACGCGUGGAUAACCUGCCUCACACUGGGGAUAACAGUUAGAAAUGACUGCUAAUACCGCAUAAGCGCACAGUACCGCAUGGUACAGUGUGAAAAACUCCGGUGGUGUGAGAUGGAUCCGCGUCUGAUUAGCCAGUUGGCGGGGUAACGGCCCACCAAAGCGACGAUCAGUAGCCGACCUGAGAGGGUGACCGGCCACAUUGGGACUGAGACACGGCCCAA